UGCUGCUAGAGACUAACUACCGAGAAAGGCUGCUCACCGUAUACAAUGAAGUGAAGAAGCGGCUAGACUAUCAAAUUGCUGUACAGCAACUGGCACGUCGUAAGGAACAAGAUCACAUGAUCAACUGGAUAGAGAAAAACGUCGUCCAGAGCAUCACUCCUCAACAGGAGAAGGAGAGUAUUGCCAAGUGCAUCUCCGAUUUGAAGAUGUUGUCGAAGAGCACGCGGGUGGCAGUAUAAUUGCACAACAUUGAAUUCCAGUCAGCUCUGCGUUGCUUCUGUGAUCUGCUGUUGGAAACUGUACAACUGUAACUCUAAAUUAAAAUAAGUUCUGUAUUCUCACUGUCUGAUUAGUAGCACUGAACUAGCAGCAGUCCCAGAGUAUGGUUAUAGCAGUUAAUUCUGACAUGUGAACAGGGACCUAUGUACUUGUUCCAGUUUUUUGUGCAGAAAUUGGGGUUCUGCAGAUGAAUAAAAACAUAAUUCUUCCUUUGUUAAAGCCAAA